rnacentral:rRNA from 1 species
AGUGAACGCUGGCGGUAGGCCUAACACAUGCAAGUCGAACGGAAGCACAGUAAUAGCUUGCUCUUACGGGUGGCGAGUGGCGGAUGGGUGAGGAAUACAUCGGAAUCUACUUUUUCGUGGGGGAUAACGUAGGGAAACUUACGCUAAUACCGCAUACUACCUACGGGUGAAAGCAGGGGAGCUUCGGAGCUUGCGCGAUUGAAUGAGCCGAGGUGGGUUUAGCUGGUUGGCGGGGUAAAGGCACACCAGGGCGACGAUCCGUAGCUGGUCUGAGAGGGGGUAGCGCGACAGUGGGACUGACACACGGUCCAGGCUCCGACGGGCGGCCGAGAUGGGGACUAUUGGACGAUGGGCGGAAGCCUGCUCCAGCCGUACCGGGUGGGUGAAGAAGGCCUUCGGGUUGGAAAGCCCUUUUGUUGGGAAAGAACAGCAGCAGGUUAAUACCCCGCUGUUCUGACGGUACCCAAUGAAUAAGCACCGGCUAACUACGUG